UACAGAGGGUGCAAGCGUUAAUCGGAAUUACUGGGCGUAAAGCGAGCGUAGUCGGUUAUUUAAGUCGGAUGUGAAAUCCCCGGGCUCAACCCGGGAACUGCGUCCGAGACUGGAAGGCUCGAAUCCGGGAGAGGGAUGUGGAAUUCCAGGUGUAGCGGUGAAAUGCGUAGAUAUCUGGAGGAACAUCGGUGGCGAAGGCGGCAUCCUGGACCGGUAUUGACGCUGAGGCGCGAAAGCCAGGGGAGCAAACGGG
rnacentral:rRNA from 1 species